rnacentral:rRNA from 1 species
UACGUAGGGUGCGAGCGUUUAAUCGGAAUUACUGGGCGUAAAGCGUGCGCAGGCGGCGCGUUAAGACAGGUGUGAAAGCCCCGAGCUUAACUUGGGAAUUGCGCUUGUGACUGGCGUGCUGGAGUGUGGCAGAGGGGAGGUGGAAUUCCACGUGUAGCAGUGAAAUGCGUAGAGAUGUGGAGGAACACCGAUGGCGAAGGCAGCCUCCUGGGCCAGCACUGACGCUCAUGCACGAAAGCGUGGGGAGCAAA